AUGCGCCACAAGGUUACAGUGCAGAUAGAUGAGCGUCAUUUUUAUCACUCAUUACUUCUCUUAAGCGGUGACUGGCGCUCAGGACGCGCAAGGGAGGCAACACUCAUUUAUCCUGGAGUUCUUUUAAGGCGAGGAGAGAAGAGGGGGAAACACUCGAAACAGUCCACUUGGAAAAAAAGGCUCUUGUCGGCCCACCUUCCGGCGCGCUGUCAACGCUCUUCCCAACAUCCGGCAUCCAUUGGAGCGGCGGCAGUCACACAGGUACGAUCAAAGCGAUUGAUCCCAAGUAAAGGGGAGGAUAUUAAAGAUGUCUGUCACACUCCCACACCCGCACUUGCCACACGUGGCGGUCACACCGCCGAGACAUUGUCUCUCAGCGCAGGUGUUGGUUGCUGCUCGCUCUCGGGUACUUCCAAAUUAUAAAGUUAGUCAUUCGUAAUUUUUGCGGUCAGACGGAUGAAAUAAAUUGACAAAAAGGGAUUUCACAAUAACUGACGAUUCUCUUGAAACCUGUUGGAUACUUAUAUUCAAUACCGCUGGUACCUUUAGAUACAGAGAUACUGCUAUACCUCUGUAACAAUGUUUUCAAAACCACGGUCAGAUAAUCAUGUAUCGACAAUGAGCUACCAUGAAUCAGUAUUCACACUGUAACUCAGGUUUGCUGGUUGAGUUUUAUGGGAUUUGUUGUUUUGGUUUUCACCGUUGAAUAGAAUUAUGUUUCACAGGCCAUGGAAUUGACUACUUAAUUUCACUUAUUGUGACGUCCCUCUUGCCAGCUUAUCAGCAACAAAACCUUGUGUGGGCUUUUGGGUUUUUAUCAUACAAUACGCAAAUGUAUGCAGGUAGUUUGUUUGGCACACAGCUAUUUAAAAUCUGGGACAAAGAGUAAAAUAAACUGCGGCAUUAUCAUUGUUUUAGGGCCUCACCACGUCUGAUAGCAGAUAGACCGGCUGGCUACGUUGGAGAUGUCGCUAACUGACAACUCUGAUUCACGCUUCUGAUAAUGCUAGUUAGUGUUGUCUUUUUCGUGCGUCUUAUAUGCAUUUAAAAUCAGAAUCAAAUACGUUUUUCAAAAAGAAAAAAAAAAGAAAAGAAAAAAAAAUGUAAUCAAACGAUCACUUUAUGCCAGAUGAAAGGGCAACACUACAAAUUUAGUCGGAGCCUAAUUAGUGCUAACAAACCUGCCGCAACCUCAACAUGAAAUGAGCAACAGAACAUAUGAAAUGUUGAUUAAAUGUAUCUGACAAAUCAAAACAACAGAUGUGGCCUACUUUAUUUUAAAACACUGGCUGUCCAGAUGCAAAAUUAUUGAGGUGAUUAUCUAAAGACAUUCUUAAGAUUACCUGGGAAGUCUCCUGAAAUUACCGCGAUAUGAUCAUUUCUUUAAGUGUCGGCUUAUGAAAUCUGUUUCUUUUGACACUGAGAAACUAGACAAAUAGAAAUGUGCACGUACCACCUGUCAACCCCACUCUAUGUUGCUAAAGGAUUCAAUUAGCAGACAGAGGUGACAUGGUUAACAGGUGCAAGCCAUUAUCCCUGGAGCGUGGCCCCGCCCGCCUCUGGGCCUGUUGCGGCGGGCGCACUGUACGCGGUGUCGCUGAGCGAUGGGAGAUCAAACGAAAAGUAUGAGUGAGAUCCGCUCCUUUGGGGUUAGGGAGACUCCGUGCCGCCAUUGCCACCGCCAUUGCCGUCGUACUCACACGAAAGGAAAGAAAGUGUUAAUCCUUACCUUCGUCUCUGCUCUCCAUCAAAUAUAUAUACAGGUCUUCCUCUCAUCCUUUCUCCAAUAAUUACUUACCCUCUCCACACCCUUCCACAUUCUUGUAAUUCAUAAUAGACCAUCGUCCUGAGAGUCAGCUUCCUGGGAAACGAGACGAGCAGGGGUCAGGCUGGUUUGUGAAAAUGGAUUGCUUGUAAAGUGCUAAUCAAUGGCAAACCUUUUGUCUUGAAGCUGGGAAAUUCAUUUUAUAACACUUAUUACAAGAUUUGGAGCAGCAGGAACUAAACAUAUGUGGCAGCUGUCCUCUUCAGGCAAAGCCGAGCUGAAUCUGAAUCAUCUCCCCGCUAUCACAUAUGCCUCACUAAAAGAGAAAAUUGAAGACAUAUUUAACCACAAAUGAAAUAUUGGAUAUGAUUUUUUGAUCGCAUCAGAUGCUCCACGCAUAUAUUUUGUCUUCGUACCUUAAUAAUAACGAUGAUACGAUGUCAAGUCUCGCCUCGGUAAUGUCUGCUGUUUUGAAACACAUUUUGCCGGCUGUAGUUUUAUUAAUCAAAUAUAGCAUGGGUGAGUCAUGUCGUUUGGCUUGUGUCACAUCAGAGGUAUGCGGCACAGAUUUCCCUCGUAUUGGAAGGAGAGCUAACACAUGCUCCCCUUAACGUAUUCUCACACCAUUUCUCACACACAAGUACUCAACACACAAAGUUGCCUACGCACACGCACACAUGCACACACACACGCACACACACAUAUACACACAUACACAGAUUACUUAUCAGGAAGGAGAUUCAUAAAAAGACCGGCACACAGACAUGCAUAUAAAACUUUGAAAUAUCAGUCCUGCUGUUGGAAAAAUGGGUAAUGGCAGUUGCCUCUCAGGACAAUGAAUCCAUAGCAGCAGCGUAAAGCAAAGCAAUUGAGUACACUUACUGUUAUAUAGUUUAUUAAAAGUAUUAGAUACUUAUACUGGAAGUGUGUCCAUUUCAUCUGUACUUUUACUUCACCAUAUUUCAGAGGUAAAUAUUCUUCUCACUCCACUACAUUUAUUUAACAGCCACAGUCAGUAACUACUAUAUCUAUAUAGUAAGUAACAUAUGAUAUGAUUAUACAUAUGAUUAGCUUGGAAAAUAUGACCUAAUUUCCAACCUAUUUUCGAAGUUUACAACACUGGACGUUCUGCUAUAUAUGAAAUAUAUAUAAUAUAAUUAUUGCUACUUUUACUUCUACUUUUCCCACCUUAACCAAUGGAUUAGAAAGAAAGAAAAAAAUUCUUACAUUCGCAAGUGCAUUUUAAUAGGAUACAAUCAUUUAUAAACCCCAUACAAAUGGUCACUAUUUACAGAAUUUGAUUGCCAACCAGAAAAUGCCAUAGGGCGGGCUUACUGUGAUUGACAGGUGACUGCCACUACAAGAGCGGUGUCCAGCGUUUCUAUUUCAGUCCUCCGCUCUCCAAAUAUGAUAUCUUCAUAGGUUCUAAAAACAAUAACAAAGAGGACAUCCACAAAUAAAUGAGUGAUGUCAAGAGGACUUGACAAUCAGAUCAUGACUACGCAGUCAUGAUAUGAUGGAAUGAAUUCAAUGCUGCCUCCAUUUUAGAACGUUAAAUAGAACCCUUUGUAAAACAGCGACUCUGUGCUUGAGCCAUCUGCCCGUGUAGAACCGUGUUGACGUAGUCCCCAGUAAAAGCAAGCAAACUUUUAAAGUGCUUGUACUUGGCUUCACAGAUUAAGCUCGAAAGCUGACCAUCCUGAAGAUCCAAUUUUCCAAUCACAGCCUUUCCUCUUUCUCUGUUUGAAGAAUAAUAUGUUACAUUGGCUGUCAAUAAAAUGCAUUUCUUCUUGCAUGAAUCUUAAGAUUUGAGGCAAAAUAGGGUCAAGAUGGAGGCCUUUUUUCUCUCCUUCUAAUUCUUAGUGGUUUACACCAAACCCUGGCAUGGAACCUGCUGUCAGACAAACAACAGAAUGUAACCUGCACUCCCAUUUCAGGAUGAUUUUCACUCCUCGAGCAGACGGAAAAGAACCACAUAAGGUGCAGGGGUGGUGAGAGGAGAGGGGUCAAUUUUCCCACUUCAAUGUUGUUGGGUUAAGAUUGUCAGUGCUGUGCGGUACGCUGCCCUGCUGGUAUAAAUACGACAUGAUUGGCAUCACAGCAGAAGACCGACUCCCUCUCGGUCUCGUCUCUGUCUUUAUCUCCCUCCAUCUCUGACAGCCUUCAUUUGCUGGAGGAGUGGCAGACUUGGUGGGAGUUAAUGAUUAUAAUUAUUAUUUUUUUCUUUUUUCUUUUUUUUUACAUUGUGGGAUAAUUAUUUAAGAGGUUUGUGUAGUUAUUGUUGUAAUCAGUAAAGAGAGAUUAGAGAAAAUCUGCAUGCCAACAGAUGGCACUUGGCUGUUGUUGUUGCUUCAUAUUAAACCCGACGUGGUACACUCUAAAGCAGGCGUGGAAGGGUGACGGGACAGUCAGAAAAAGACUAAAUUAUGAAACAAUUUGUCCUUCACCAUGAGUCAAGUUAUCCCAUCAUUCCGUCCCAGAGAAGGAAACAAAUUAAAAGUAGUUAGGGUUGUGUGUGAGCGUGUUAAAUCCUAAAAAAACAACUAUCCCACCAACCCACUCCUCUUCCCAGCAUGGAGGGGUUUUCCAGGGCAUGCUGAGAGUUGUUGGUGGGUUUACAAAAAAGCCAUUCAACACAACAGACAACAUUUGAUGUGAGAAGGCCCGGCCCCAUGACUUUCUCCAUUAUCACCGCGGUGCACUGCCGUGGCCGUUCACACGCAACCCAGUUCACAAAGAAGGUCGCGGGUUUGUUAGCGUUGCUCCUCUGGGACGCCGCCUGCUCUGACCGCUGAACAGCACGCUGAUGCCACUUUCACUUUAUUUCCACUGUUACAACUUAGAUCCAGUUUCUUUGGGCAUUGUUUUCUUUUAAGUCUGUUUAUGGUCAGGUAUUUCUUUAUCAACGUGAAAGAGACUUAAAUUCAAAGCGAGGCAGGGGCACUUGCUAUCCAGC
ensembl:lncRNA